UUUAACUGAAGAGUUUGAUCAUGGCUCAGAUUGAACGCUGGCGGCAGGCUUAACACAUGCAAGUCGAGCGGAGAGAGGUAGCUUGCUAC
rnacentral:rRNA from 1 species